UACGUAGGGUGCGAGCGUUGUCCGGAAUUAUUGGGCGUAAAGGGCUCGUAGGCGGUCUGUCACGUCGAAAGUGAAAACUCAGGGCUUAACCCUGAGCCUGCUUCCGAUACGGGCAGACUAGAGGUAUGCAGGGGAGAAUGGAAUUCCUGGUGUAGCGGUGAAAUGCGCAGAUAUCAGGAGGAACACCAGUGGCGAAAGCGGCUCUCUGGAACGGUACUGACGCUGAGACGCGAAAGCGUGGGGAGCGAACAGG
rnacentral:rRNA from 1 species